CGUAUGAUGAAUCAAUGAAACCUAAAAAAUCGAGGGUUCGUUGGAAAGAGAAUGUAGUAAAAACCUUCUUGGAGUGUUGUCUACAAGAGAUGUCCAUGAAUGGAAUCCAAGGCGGUAGCCUUAAGAUAUACUCAUGAAACAAUAUAGCAGAAACAUUAAAAAGGACUCACAACUUCAUUGUCAAUUAAAGACAAAAGAAGAAUCACCAUGAUUAUUUACGAGAGAAGUAUGCUAUAUGGUCUAGACUAAGGAAUAAAACGGAUAAUGUCUAUAACCCAACAAACAACACAUUCAAUUUAUCUGAAGAGGAGUGGAAGGCAGAAGCAAAGUUGAGUAAAUAUGCUGAUAAGUUAAGGAAUGCACCACUACUUUAUCCUAAUCUUUGUAUGCAAAUUUUCGACGGGAGUGGCGGCCACGGGCUGGGAUACCACACAAGCGCCUCCUAUUUCAGCUCAAGCACUUGAUUUUCGACACGACGUGCGGUGACUAAAGAAGAAAAGUUCAACCAUGCACAUGCACAACUUAGAAACGUUAUUGAACGUGCAUAUGGCAUCUUGAAAGCAAGAUUCUCAAUUCUGAAGCAAAUGGCUUGUUAUCCUUAUCCAAAACAAAUAGAGGUAGUAGUUGCUUGUUUUGCAAUCCAUAAUUUUAUAAGAAGAUGUAAUAUCCAAGAUCAACUAUUCAUGCAAUAUGAUGAGAACGCCAUGUUUACUGCGGAAGAGCAACAUGGAGGAGGCAAUGAAGAAGAACUCGUUGAAGUACAAUAGGGGGCUUCUCAAAACAAUGGAUAUAUGACUAAUCUACGGGAUCAGAUUGCGACUCAACUGUUUUCAAAUACUUCAAAUUAAUUUUUUUGUCUAGAAUGAAAAACAAACAAUUUUUUUUUAGUAUUAAUGUUUUAUAUCCCGUUUGUAUUUAAGUAUGAACGACUAUUGAUAUAUUUUGCUAUUUAAUUUGAAUUUUGUAUGUUUGUAAAAGAAG